rnacentral:rRNA from 1 species
UACGAGGGGGGCGAGCGUUGUUCGGAAUUAUUGGGCGUAAAGGGUGCGUAGGCGGUUCCGCAAGUCCUGUGUGAAAUCUUCGGGCUCAACUCGAAGUCUGCACGGGAAACUGCGGGGCUUGAGUGUGGGAGAGGUGAGUGGAAUUCCCGGUGUAACGGUGAAAUGCGUAGAUAUCGGGAGGAACACCUGUGGCGAAAGCGGCUCACUGGACCAUAACUGACGCUGAGGCGCGAAAGCUAGGGGAGCAAACAGG